rnacentral:rRNA from 1 species
GAGUGGCGAACUGGUGAGUAACACGUGGGAAACCUGCCCAGAAGCGGGGGAUAACACCUGGAAACAGAUGCUAAUACCGCAUAACAACUUGGACCGCAUGGUCCGAGUUUGAAAGAUGGCUUCGGCUAUCACUUUUGGAUGGUCCCGCGGCGUAUUAGCUAGAUGGUGGGGUAACGGCUCACCAUGGCAAUGAUACGUAGCCGACCUGAGAGGGUAAUCGGCCACAUUGGGACUGAGACACGGCCCAAACUCCUACGGGAGGCAGCAGUAGGGAAUCUUCCACAAUGGACGAAAGUCUGAUGGAGCAACGCCGCGUGAGUGAAGAAGGGUUUCGGCUCGUAAAACUCUGUUGUUAAAGAAGAACAUAUCUGAGAGUAACUGUUCAGGUAUUGACGGUAUUUAACCAGAAAGCCACGGCUAACUACGUGCCAGCAGCCGCGGUAAUACGUAGGUGGCAAGCGUUGUCCGGAUUUAUUGGGCGUAAAGCGAGCGCAGGCGGUUUUUUAAGUCUGAUGUGAAAGCCUUCGGCUCAACCGAAGAAGUGCAUCGGAAACUGGGAAACUUGAGUGCAGAAGAGGACAGUGGAACUCCAUGUGUAGCGGUGAAAUGCGUAGAUAUAUGGAAGAACACCAGUGGCGAAGGCGGCUGUCUGGUCUGUAACUGACGCUGAGGCUCGAAAGUAUGGGUAGCAAACAGGAUUAGAUACCCUGGUAGUCCAUACCGUAAACGAUGAAUGCUAAGUGUUGGAGGGUUUCCGCCCUUCAGUGCUGCAGCUAACGCAUUAAGCAUUCCGCCUGGGGAGUACGGCCGCAAGGCUGAAACUCAAAGGAAUUGACGGGGGCCCGCACAAGCGGUGGAGCAUGUGGUUUAAUUCGAAGCUACGCGAAGAACCUUACCAGGUCUUGACAUACUAUGCAAAUCUAAGAGAUUAGACGUUCCCUUCGGGGACAUGGAUACAGGUGGUGCAUGGUUGUCGUCAGCUCGUGUCGUGAGAUGUUGGGUUAAGUCCCGCAACGAGCGCAACCCUUAUUAUCAGUUGCCAGCAUUAAGUUGGGCACUCUGGUGAGACUGCCGGUGACAAACCGGAGGAAGGUGGGGAUGACGUCAAAUCAUCAUGCCCCUUAUGACCUGGGCUACACACGUGCUACAAUGGAUGGUACAACGAGUUGCGAACUCGCGAGAGUAAGCUAAUCUCUUAAAGCCAUUCUCAGUUCGGAUUGUAGGCUGCAACUCGCCUACAUGAAGUCGGAAUCGCUAGUAAUCGCGGAUCAGCAUGCCGCGGUGAAUACGUUCCCGGGCCUUGUACACACCGCCCGUCACACCAUGAGAGUUUGUAACACCCAAAGUCGGUGGGGUAACCUCUUAGGAACCAGCCGCCUAA